CCUACGGGAGGCAGCAGUGGGGAAUAUUGGACAAUGGGCGAAAGCCUGAUCCAGCAAUGCCGCGUGAGUGAUGAAGGCCUUAGGGUUGUAAAGCUCUUUUACCAGGGAUGAUAAUGACAGUACCUGGAGAAUAAGCUCCGGCUAACUCCGUGCCAGCAGCCGCGGUAAUACGGAGGGAGCUAGCGUUGUUCGGAAUUACUGGGCGUAAAGCGUGCGUAGGCGGUGAUUCAAGUCAGAGGUGAAAGCCUGGAGCUCAACUCCAGAACGGCCUUUGAAACUAGAUCGCUAGAAUUAUGGAGAGGUAAGUGGAAUUCCGAGUGUAGAGGUGAAAUUCGUAGAUAUUCGGAAGAACACCAGUGGCGAAGGCGACUUACUGGACAUAUAUUGACGCUGAGGUACGAAAGCGUGGGGAGCAAACAGGAUUAGAUACCCUGGUAGUCCACGCCGUAAACGAUGAUAACUAGCUGUUCGGGCUCUCAGAGCUUGAGUGGCGCAGCUACGCAUUAAGUUAUCCGCCGUGGGAGGUACGGUCGCGAGAAUUAAACUACAAAUAGUAAGUUAGACGGCGUGAGACGUGCCGACGGACGACGACGAGGGAGGUUAGG
rnacentral:rRNA from 1 species